GAUGAACGCUGGCGGCGUGCCUAAUACAUGCAAGUCGAGCGAACGGACGAGAAGCUUGCUUCUCUGAUGUUAGCGGCGGACGGGUGAGUAACACGUGGAUAACCUACCUAUAAGACUGGGAUAACUUCGGGAAACCGGAGCUAAUACCGGAUAAUAUUUUGAACCGCAUGGUUCAAAAGUGAAAGACGGUCUUGCUGUCACUUAUAGAUGGAUCCGCGCUGCAUUAGCUAGUUGGUAAGGUAACGGCUUACCAAGGCAACGAUGCAUAGCCGACCUGAGAGGGUGAUCGGCCACACUGGAACUGAGACACGGUCCAGACUCCUACGGGAGGCAGCAGUAGGGAAUCUUCCGCAAUGGGCGAAAGCCUGACGGAGCAACGCCGCGUGAGUGAUGAAGGUCUUCGGGUCGUAAAACUCUGUUAUUAGGGAAGAACAUAUGUGUAAGUAACUGUGCACAUCUUGACGGUACCUAAUCAGAAAGCCACGGCUAACUACGUGCCAGCAGCCGCGGUAAUACGUAGGUGGCAAGCGUUAUCCGGAAUUAUUGGGCGUAAAGCGCGCGUAGGCGGUUUUUUAAGUCUGAUGUGAAAGCCCACGGCUCAACCGUGGAGGGUCAUUGGAAACUGGAAAACUUGAGUGCAGAAGAGGAAAGUGGAAUUCCAUGUGUAGCGGUGAAAUGCGCAGAGAUAUGGAGGAACACCAGUGGCGAAGGCGACUUUCUGGUCUGUAACUGACGCUGAUGUGCGAAAGCGUGGGGAUCAAACAGGAUUAGAUACCCUGGUAGUCCACGCCGUAAACGAUGAGUGCUAAGUGUUAGGGGGUUUCCGCCCCUUAGUGCUGCAGCUAACGCAUUAAGCACUCCGCCUGGGGAGUACGACCGCAAGGUUGAAACUCAAAGGAAUUGACGGGGACCCGCACAAGCGGUGGAGCAUGUGGUUUAAUUCGAAGCAACGCGAAGAACCUUACCAAAUCUUGACAUCCUUUGACAACUCUAGAGAUAGAGCUUUCCCCUUCGGGGGACAAAGUGACAGGUGGUGCAUGGUUGUCGUCAGCUCGUGUCGUGAGAUGUUGGGUUAAGUCCCGCAACGAGCGCAACCCUUAAGCUUAGUUGCCAUCAUUAAGUUGGGCACUCUAAGUUGACUGCCGGUGACAAACCGGAGGAAGGUGGGGAUGACGUCAAAUCAUCAUGCCCCUUAUGAUUUGGGCUACACACGUGCUACAAUGGACAAUACAAAGGGCAGCGAAACCGCGAGGUCAAGCAAAUCCCAUAAAGUUGUUCUCAGUUCGGAUUGUAGUCUGCAACUCGACUACAUGAAGCUGGAAUCGCUAGUAAUCGUAGAUCGGCAUGCUACGGUGAAUACGUUCCCGGGUCU
rnacentral:rRNA from 1 species